UGGCGGAGUGGUCGAUCGCGGCGGUCUUGAAAACCGUUGUCCCGCAAGGGACCGGGGGUUCGAAUCCCUCCCUCUCCGCCA
rnacentral:tRNA from 1 species